rnacentral:rRNA from 1 species
UUAAAUUGAAGAGUUUGAUCAUGGCUCAGAUUGAACGCUGGCGGCAGGCCUAACACAUGCAAGUCGAACGGUAACAGGAAACAGCUUGCUGUUUCGCUGACGAGUGGCGGACGGGUGAGUAAUGUCUGGGAAACUGCCUGAUGGAGGGGGAUAACUACUGGAAACGGUAGCUAAUACCGCAUAACGUCGCAAGACCAAAGAGGGGGACCUUCGGGCCUCUUGCCAUCGGAUGUGCCCAGAUGGGAUUAGCUAGUAGGUGGGGUAAAGGCUCACCUAGGCGACGAUCCCUAGCUGGUCU